UUGAAAGGGAAACGAUUGAAGUCAGUCGUACCAGCGGGAAUCAACCUUUCGAGUGGGGUUUUGGAGUUUUGAAGUGUGUCAAAACCUUUGAGAUUUUAAAAUUUUCGCUCUUUUGGUGUACUUUCUCGUGGGUAGGUUAACAUCGAUUUUGAUCAUCAUAAAAAGACUGGAGGAAUGUAGCUUCGAUCUUGUAUUGAAGUGUUAUAGCCUUUGGUAAAUGUGAUGAUUAGGAUCGAGGAUUGCAACGAAUACCCUUCUGGGCUAUCCGCCUGAUCUCUGAUACGUGGCCUUGGCAUCGAAAGCUUGCUUAUGGUAUCAAGGUAUUACGGUCAAAAGGUUAGAACGGAUUACAUUCGUUAAGGAUGUUGACGUA
rnacentral:rRNA from 1 species